UGAUUUUUUUCAUGAUUAACUAAACAUUUUUUAGCUUUAUCCCGGAAAUUACUCCAACAAAACAAUCAUGAGAUACGAACCCGCUCAAAAAAACCUCUCAACGUAGUAUUUUCUAUCUCUUCUGUAUUUUAGAUAGUACAAAUUCGUCCCUUAAAGUUGAUUCAGCUUGGAUUCAAAAGUGCUUGUUAGGUUGGAGUUGUUUGGCGUACAGUUGGGAAAACGAAUCAGUCGUGCUGUGUUUGAAUUCCCGCGAACAAAUUGGCAUGUCUAGAUGGAAAAAGCCAGUUGAAUUCCGUUAAGAGAGAUAGAGAUCAGAUUUAAAUGACCCACGCGAUUGAGGUCAUUGAUUCGAGUUGGGCUUUUUAGAUCCCAAGGCUAUCGAAAUCUUAAAUUGCAAACAUGUGUAUCAUAGUUAGAAAUCUGGCAAUGGUCGAUUUGCAUGUCAUACCAAGAUCAACUACAUAAGGAAAAGUUGACGGUCGGGACAUUCUUGGUCGCUAUAACCAACUUAUUGCUUGGAAGGGAAGAUCUAUUUCAAGGAUCGAUUCAAGGUUGGAGUACACCAAGGCUAAGGCUGAGCUUAAAAAUAUUUUAUUUAUCCACUUAUUUUAUUUUCUUAAAUUUAUUUUUGCGUUUUCGUGUAUGUUUUUAUUUUAUUUUAUUUUAUUACACUUCGUAUUUCCUUAUUUUAUUAUCUUAAUAAAUUUAAACCCCCCAUUUUUAAUUUUAUCAAUAUUGCUACGCACAAGUCAUGGGCACGACUGUGACCGCGAUAGCGAUUCUGGUCACGAAAAAAGGCGAAAUUAAAUAGUUAGCCCCUAUGAAUUUGACCCUACUACUCUAUACUUCUAUUUACUGUUAUUUUGUCGUAAGAAUAUAUAUUUGGUGGUUUCGACCCCCAACAAAUUUUGGCGCCAUUGUCGGGGACUGGUAAAAUUUUCUAAUUUUUGUUUAUUUUUCUUUAUGAACAGGUCAAAAUCGGGGACUCUAACAUUUGAACUGAAAAUAGAAAAGUUGGCUCAAACACUUCGAAGAUAAGCUAUUCAGCGUAGUAAACAACCACAACCCGACUUUGAAGAAGGAUCUUACACCAAAGAUAUUUACUCAUCCAAAGAUUCAAACGACAUGGCAGAUCAAACUAUAUGCCAACUUCUAGUUCACCAAAUGAACAACAACCGCUAUGCAUAACUUAUCCGGUGGGUGAAACAUCGUUCGAGUUGAAGUCGAGAUUAAUACAUUUAUUGCCUACUUUUCGCUGUAUGAAAAAUGAGAACCCCCAUACUUAUCUGAAAGAGUUCCACAUGGUUUGUCUAAGUUUGAAACCGAAAGGAGUAACUGAGGAUCAAAUAAAACUACGAGCUUUUCCUUUUUCAUUAGUUGACUCUGCUAGAGAAUGGUUGUUUUAUUUAUCUCCGGGAUUUGUUAAUACUUGGAUUGAUAUGCCUCGAUUGUUUCUUGAUAUUUUUUCCCAACAGCUCGAGUAGCCGAAUUAAAGAGGAGUAUAGUCAGGAUACAAAAAGUGAUUUUGUUGUGGUUUUGGGCAACUUACGCACAACUUCUUGUAUCACUCCUAAUAUUCAUAAAGUGAUUAUGCUUCUUACGCACAACUUGUCUUACUGUAACAGGCCGAUUUUGAUCAAAAAGGAUCAAAUAAAACAAUUGCUCUUACUGUAACAGCCCGAUUUUGGGCCUAGUCAAAGCAGUGGUUUUGGGACCACAAAUCUGACAAGGAAAAAUUUAUUUUUCUUAUAUUUUUAUGGUCUACGAUUUCACGGAAUGAUUUUGUGAAAAUUUCGUUCGAAAAUUUCGACGUUUGGGCACUCAAUUUAGUCAAAAGGACUAAAUUAUAAAAAGUGAAAAAGUUGAGUUCUACAUGUUAGAGGUGUUCAAUUGUUAUGAAACUUUAAAUUGGAGGUCCUUAUAUGGUAAUUAGACCAUUGGUUAAGUUGGUAGACAAAAAUCGGCAUGAGAUAAGUGAAAUAGGAAAUUUUUAAGUUAGGGGCAAUUUGGUAAUCUAGUAAUUAAAAUGAAUUAAAAGGGAAAAGAUGGCAAAUUGUGCUCAUCUUCUUCAUUUGGACGAAAUCAGCAAGGGGGGAAGCCAUUGUUAGGGUUUUCAAGCUUCCAAGCUCCAUAGUAAGUGAUUCUAAGCCCCGUUUUUAAUGUUCUUUACUUUUUUAGAGUCCGAGUAACUUGAUUUUGCUUAUUCUAGCAAUAAUUUAAUCUAGGGUUUAUAUUUGGAAAAAUACCCAUAUGUGAAAUGUGUUUAUUUUGAUUUUUUAUGGUAGAAUAUGAAGCUAGAAAUUAUGUUAAGCAACUUUUGCUAAGCGAUUUUGAGUGAAAACGAGUAAAACGACAUAAUCGAUAAAAAUGCUAAAUGUUCAUAAGUAAGUGUUAGAGUGGGAAUUUGAUGUUGCCAUAGAAGGGAAAAAUGUUCAGAAUGUCAUAAUACAUAAGAAUAAGGGAUGAAGUUUAAUUUACGAGCUUUGGGGAAAAAGUGUAAAUAUGCAAAAGUUUAGGGGCAAAAUUGUAAUUUUACCAAAGUUUGAGUCAAGGACUGUUUUGAUAAAUGUGAGUACUAAAUAAGUCAAAUGUGUUAUUAUAGAUCAAGAAAGAAGUGGAAUCGACCUUGACCGGAGAAAAGAAUAGAUUAAAGACUAAAUUGCUAAAUUUUUAUAUUGUUGCAUAAAAGUAAGUUACAUGUAAAUAAUAGUUAUAUUUUUAUAAAUUGUGAAUUAUAUUUGAUAUGUGAAUUAAUAUUCAAUGUGGAAGGAAAAUUAUUCAUGAAUUAUUCAAGUGAUAAAGUGUUGAAAACAAAGUGUUAAGUGUAAAUUCCCGAUUGAACUUAGGAAUAGAAGUGGAUACAAGUGACAUGUCGCUAGAGAUCAAUGUUACAGUGUUACAGUGAGUCCCGGGUGCUAGGUGAUCUAGCAUGUGUUGCAGACACCUGACAGCUUGUGUGAGCAGGCCCAUGGAAUUUCCAAUGCUAUUGAUCAAUGGUAGCUUCGGCUACAUAUCAGUGGUAGCUUCGGCUACAUUUCAGUGGUAGAUUCGGCUACAUAUCAGUGUGGCACUUAUGUGCCAAUUCUCUACGUAUCCGUGUAUAUUCCGAGUGUUCAACGGGAAAUUGACUAAGUGAAAAUACAUGAGAUCAUGUAACAAUUAAGUGUAAUUGAAUAAUGAAUAUAUGUGUGGAAUUGAAUUGAAUAUUGACUUGAAAAUGGAAAAGUGAAUUUUGAAUUGAAUAGUGAUUAAAAGUGAAAAAGUGAAAUUAUGAAAAAGUAGAAUUACCAACAAAACAGUUUUGGACAGUAACAAUAGUGUGACUUUGAAAAAUCACAAAAAAUGGUGAAAAUUGACUUAGAGAGUGAAUAAGAUAUGAAAUGAAAUCUUAAGUAGUCUAUUUUUACAUAAAAGAAACAGAGAAAGAAAAAUAGUUAUACAUUUUGAGAUAUUUGAAUUUUAGUGAGGCAAGGUCGGAUUGAUUUCGAAAUCCCCUAUUCUGACUUUGGAAAAUAAUUAAAAAUUGUAAAAAAAUUACUAUGAGUUGUAAUUUAUAUUCUUAGAAUAUUUAAUGAGUAUAUUUUCAAAGGGAACAAACAUAAAUAUCUUCCGAGUUCUGUACAAUGAGAUAAUUCAUUUUUAGUGAAGAGAGGUCAGAGAUGUUGAGCAGUGAAACAUGGGUGACUUUAAAGAAUAAAAUGUACUAAUUUUCCAAGUAAAAAAUUCUGAAAAUUUUAUGGUAAGAAGACAUGUGAGUUUAGUUUCAUGGUAAAUUAACGGAUCUUAAUUUGGAGCUUUGUAGCUUCGGAUAAAAAUGAUUUAGUGAUUCUGACUCAAAUAGACAACUUUGAAUUUAAAUAUAAGUGAAUAGUGAAAUUAUGUAUAAUGCUAUUUAAGCAUGUUUUAUACAUAAAGGAUGUGGAAUGGAGAGGAGGAGGAGGACAAUAAAAUGUAUGAAAGAAUUGUGUAUAAUGGUCAUAUGCCCGAUUAUAAUCGGUAAAUGUUAAAUUGAAUGGUAAAUAUGUAUUGGUACUGAAGGAACUAUUGCGGUAUUGAAAAGCAAUUGAUCUAAUGUUUAAGAAAUUUAGUCAUGACAUAUAUAUAUGUGAUAAUAAUGAUAUAUGGAUGAUUAUAUCAUUGAGUUGCAUUGAUUAUUUCUGUUUAUGUGAUGGAAAUGUCAAGAACAUUUGUCUUUGAUAUGUGAUGAUCAUGGUUUAAGCUCAUAUGGGAAAAUAAAGUUUCAUAGUAUGAGAGUGUGGUAUUGAAAUAUAUAUAUUGGAUUAAGAAAUUGAUUUGAAUUGUGAACAUGAAAGAUUGUGAAUUGAAUAAAAUGGAAAUGGAGCUUUGAAUUUAAGCCCUAUUUGUUAUGAAUAUAAUAUUUUGAGGAUAUGUUGUAAAGAAUUAUAAAAGCAUGUUAAAAAUUUGAAGAGUUUAAAUUUGAAUGAAAUUUUGUAACUCGGUUUAAUACGUUUACAUGUGUAAGUGUUCUAGUAAUGCCUCAUACCCUAUUCCGGAGUUGAAUACGGGUAAGGGGUGUUACACUUACAGUAUUUCUACGAUGGGUUACUCCCAAUGGAAAUGAAGAUGAUUGAUGCCGCUAAUGGAGGGGCUCUUGCAAACAUGACUACCCAAAGAGCUAGGGAAUUAAUUUUGACUAUGGCUAUAAAUUCUCAACAGUAUCGACCACUUAUGAAACUUACGAGAAGAGUUCAUGAGCUAAGUACUCCUUCCAUAGUAAAUAAGAUUAAUGAACUUACUAAUGUGGUUAAAAGUAUGCUUGCAGGAAAAUCGAAUCCAGCUCGGUUAUGUGGGAUUUGUGCUCAGCCUGAUCAUCCAACUAACUCGUGCCUGAUUUUACUAGAGGACACAACUGCACAAGUAGAUGUCGUUGGAAAUUUCCCAGGGCCACCUCAAAGGCGCUAUGAUCCAUACUCGAACACGUAUAAUACAGGGUGGAAGGACCACCCAAAUCUAAACUAUGGAUCAAAUCCUCGAUAUAAUCAACCAUAUCAACCAAGACCACCUCCGCCUCAACAAUAUCAACCUCCAAAGUCAUCUCUUGAAACCAUAGUAGAGAGGUUAGUCAUUAGCACUGAAAAGUUCCAACAAAAGAAUAAAGCGCAUCUCCAAGAAAUGGAUUAGGAAAUAAGCAAGCUAGCACUCAUGGUUAGUCGUUUGGAGAACCAAGGAAAAAUAUUGUUUCAAACUGAGCCAAACCCACGUCAAAAUGCAAGUGAUGUGACCAUAAAGCAUGGAACAGAGUCAGAACUAGUGCUUGGCACGAGCCGUGACCACGACGCUGAACAGAAAGAAUAAAAAGUCGAAACAACAGCUCUCACAGAGUUAACACCACAUAAACCAUUUGUUGUACCUCCCCCAUGCCCUAGAAGGCUCGCCCAAGUUAAAAAUGAAAGAGAGGAAAAAGAAAUCCUUGAGACAUUCCAGAAGGUAGAAAUUAAUAUUCCUUUACUUGAUGCAAUUAAACAGGUUCUGCACUGUGCAAAAUUUUUUAAAGAACUGUGCAUCAAAAAAAAGAAGCUCCAAGGAAACAGAUGGGUAAAUGUGGGGGAAAACAUUUUUUCAGUGCUACAAAGGAAAAUUCCACCUAAGUGUAAGGACCAAUGUAUAUUUUUUAUAUCCUGCAAAAUAGGUAAUAUUGGCAUAAAGAAAGUCAUGUGUGAUUUAGGAACAUCUAUUAAUAUAAUGCAUUUAUCUAUUUUUAAAUUGCUAAACACGGGUCCUUUAAAAGAAACAGGGGUGAUUAUUUAAUUGGUAGACAGGUCAUGCGUAUAUCCAGAAGGGGUAUUGGAAGAUGUCUUUGUAAAGGUAAAUGAACUAAUUUUUCUUGCAGACUUUUAUAUCAUCAAUAUGGAGAACGACCACUCAAAAAAUGCUUCUAAUAUUCUACUCGGAAGACCAUUUCUAUGUACCGCAGUCCAAAAAUUGAUGUUUGUAGUGGAACCCUCAAUAUGGAAUUCGACAGUGAGGUGGUAAAAUUUAAUGUUUAUGAGGCGAUGGGUCAACCCAACACAAUGUCGAAUAUUUCUAGUGUUGAUAUAAUUGAUCUACUAACAAAAUUUCAUUUUCAGUAUCAUGAAGGGGAUGGAUUACAAACUGUACUUUCCAAAAGUUUAAACAUCAAUACGAUGGAUAAAUUGGAGGAGAUAAUGACAUUCAAAGAACCGAUUUGAGAAAUCGUUACUCUAUUGGAGACUCAUCAAUUCCCUAUAAGCCAAGGUAAGUACUUUGAACUUUCUUAUUCUAAAACUAAAUUGUUGUCUUCUAUUUUGCAGACCCCAGAAAUAGAGCUUAAAUCAUUGUCGGAACACUUGAAGUAUGCCUAUCUAGGUAAUGGAAACACUUUACCAGUAAUAGUUUCUAGUAAACUUUCGGGAUUGAAAGAGGAGAAUUUAAUUCGAGUCUUGAGAGACUACAAAGGGGCUAUCGGAUGGACGAUUGUCGACAUAACAAGGUUAAGUCCCUCGACUUGUAUGCAUAGAAAAUAGAUAGAAGAAAGCUCAAGCCCAAAUAGAGAAGCUCAAAGACAUCUUAAUCCACUACUGAUGGAGGUUGUCAAAAAGGAAAUUCAAAAGCUAUUGGAUGCCGAGAUGAUCUAUCCAAUUUCUAAUAGUAUUUGGGUCAGCCCAAUUCAUAUGGUACCCAAGAAAACUAGUAUGACUGUAAUAGAAAAUACAACAAGAAAUUUAGUUCCCACUAGAGUCCAAAAUGGGUGGUGAGUCUAUAUAAAUUACAAGAAGUUGAACUCUUUAACUCAAAAAGACCACUUUCCACUUCCUUUUAUUGAUCAAAUGUUAGAACAUUUAGCAGGAAAAACUCACUAUUGUUGUCUUGAUGAUUAUUAAGUUUUUUCCAAAUUCCAGUGGCACCAGAGAACUAAGAGAAAAUAACGUUUACAUGUGUCCCUUUGGCACAUUCACCUACAGACAGAUGUCGUUUGGACUUUGCAAUGCACCAGCCAAAAUUCAGAGGUGUAUGGUAAGUAUAUUUUCUGACUAUGUCCAGAAAAUAAUUAAGGUAUUUAUAGACGAUUUUAUAAUUUAUAGAAAUUCUUUCAAUAAAUGUUUGUCAAACCUCGUUAAAAUUUUGGAAAGAUGGCUAGACUUUAAUUUAAUUCUUAAUUAUGAAUAAUGUCAUUUUAUGGUAGAUAAGGGAUUGAUUUUAGGGCAUACUGUUUGCGUUGAAGGGAUUACGGACGAUAAGGAAAAAACUGAUGUUAUCAACUCACUUUCAAAUCCCACAAUUGUGAGGGAAAUUCAUUCUUUUCUUGGUCAUGCAGGUUUUUACAAGCACUUUAUUAGGGACUUUUCUAAGAUUUCGCGACCGCUCUGCAGUCUCUUGCAAAAAGAUAAAGAGUUUGAAUUUGUUAAAGUGUGCAAAGACGCGUUCGACACUCUCAAACAAAAGCUUGUUUCAACUCUUAUAGUAUAGCUACCCAAUUGGGACUACCCUUUCGAGCUCAUGUGCGAUGCUACCUAGAGAAAUUACUCAACUACUGAAAAAGAAUUAUUAGCCAUUGUUUUUGCUUUGGAAAAUUUAGAUCGUAUUUAUUAGGUACUAAAUUUAUUGUUUUUUCUGACCAUGCAGUGUUGAAAUAUUUGAUCGGUAAAAAAGAGGCAAAACCUAGGUUGAUUCGAUGGAUUCUUUUCUUACAAGAAUUUAAUCUCGAGAUUAAGGACAAGAAAGGAAGUGAGAACUUAUUAGCUGAUCAUUUGAGUCGAUUUCCCUUUUCAAAAGACGACACACGUCUUAAAGAUGACUUUCCAUGUGAAAGUCUUUUGUCAGCUCAGACAGUUUACCCAUAGUUUGCAAAUAUGGUAAAUUACCUUGCUACAAGUAUUGUUUCUUCCAACUUAUCAUGUUUUGAAAAGGACAAGCUCAAAAGAGACUCACGAUAUUAUAUUUGGGAUAAUCCAUACCUAUGGAACCACAGUUCCGAUAAGGUAAUUCGACGAUGUGUCAUAGAAAUCGAGGUACAAUCUAUCCUUUCUUUUUGUCAUUAUUAUGCUUGUAGAGGGCAUUUCAGUCCUAAACGCACCAUACAUAAGGUACUUAAGUGUAGAUUGUUUUGGCCACACAUAUUUCGUAAUGCUUAUUUAUUUUGCAAAACUUGCGAGAGUUGUCAAAAAGUGGGAAAUUUAAGCCGAAAAAGUGAGAUGCCCCUAACACCUAUACAUGUAUGUAAAAUUUUUGAAGUGUAGGGCAUCAAAUUUAUGGGACCGUUUGUUUCAUCAUUUAAUAAUGUUUACAUUAUUCUCAUUGUCGAUUACAUACCUAAAUGGGUAGAAGCUAAAGCUAAAGCUAAAGCUAAAAUUGUAGUGGAUUUUCUAACGAACUCUAUUUUUUCCAGGUUUGGCACACCGAGAGCACUAAUUAGCAAUUGAGGAACUCAUUUCUGCAACAAGGUAAUUGAUACUCUACUGAAAAAGUAUGGGGUAACACAACGUGUGGCCACGACUUAUCACCCACAAACAAAUGGUCUAGCGGAAGUUUCAAACCGCGAAAUAAAGUUGAUUCUAGAAAAGACCGUGAAACCAAAUAGGAAGGACUGGAGCUUACGUUUAAACAACACAUUGUGGGCAUAUGGUACUGCUUACAAGGGACCAUAGGAAUGACCCAUUACCAACUCAUAUCCUGUAAAUCGUGUCACCUUCUGGUAGAGUUAGAACAUAAGGCAUUUUGGGUGGUGAAAAGAUGCAACAUAGAAUUGGAUGCCGCAGGUAAUUAUCGAAAAUUGGACAUUAAAGAACUCGAAGAGAUCCGGUGAGACGCAUAUGAAAAUGCCCAAAUUUAUAAAGACAAAACCAAGGGUUUUCAUGACUAGAAAAUAUCUCGCAAACAAUUUUCAAUUGACCAGAAAGUGUUACUUUACGAUCUUACACUGAGAAUUUUUUCGGGUAAGCUUCGAACCAAGUUGCUUGGUCCUUUUAUUAUUACUAAAAUAUUUCCUCAUGAUGCAGUUGAAAUUAAAAACGAGGAAUUCGAUAAGUGUUUUAAAGUCAAUGGUCAAAGGUUAAAACCCUUUUACGAGAAUUUUCAAGUACAUGUGGUAGAGGAAUUAUUUUUUGAGGAGCCGAACGAUUAAAUUUUUUAGGUUGUCGAGCUAACGACGUUAAACAAAAGCGUUUUAUAUGAGGCAACCCACAUUUAUUUUCAUUUAGUAAUUUAUUUUAUUUAUUUAAUUUAAUUUUGGAUUCUAGUUUAGUUUGAAAAUUAAAUAAAAUACUAUUUUAAUCCAUUCGAUCAUGUUAUUUUCCAAGAGCGUGGACGAUGACAGACAUUUGUUAAAAGUCAGAAUUAAAUUAUGGCGAAGGCAUAUUCGUGUUCGAUGCAUUCAUCUUUCUCAAACAGACAAACUCGUAUCCUUACCCAAAAGUAUAAGAGCCCAACAUACCAAGAACCAAACAAAAAGAAUAAGGAAAGAAAGGGACAGCAGGCCAGCCCAAAAGAAGAAAAAAGAAAGAGGGAUUUGAAAAAGAGAAAAAAGAAGGAAAGGUGGGCCAAACAACCGAAGAAAAUAAAUGAGGAAAAAAAGAAAAGAAGGAAGGGCCAGACGGCCAAUGAAGAAAAUGAAAGAAAAAAAAAAGAAUAAAGUUUUUUUUAAAAACCCACACCUUACCUUUUCUUUUUAUUUUCCCUCUUUUUCUUCUUCAUUCAUCUUCCUCACCAAAAACUCAACUCCCUCAAGCCACCGCCAUCAACCCCUUGACCACCGACGACCUCUUCGCCAACACCGUUGUCGUUAGCCUCCACCUUCGUCGAGAAAAAGACCACCCCAAACACCACCUCACACCAUCAACGCACCAUCAUUCUCCACACUCCCCACCGUCGAACACCUCCAUUUGAAGUUGUCACCGCUGCCAUCCAUUGCCUCACCACCGACUUACACCCCCUCGCUUAAAACACCACAAAACAUCACCUUUUCUUACCCUAAACCAACCAUCACCUUCACCCACCCCAAAAAUGCCACAUUUCAUCCCAUAGUCGCCACCCUUAGAAGCACAAAAAUUUGUAACGACAUUUCAACUACCAUCCGCUGCUGAUCGCCACUGUCCACAGCUGUCUGUUACUGGUCUCCGUCGUGGGCUGCCACUAAAUAGUUAUCCUCAAUUAUUUUUCAACUAGAAAAAAAUCCCAUGGUUCGUACUAGACGUCAAUCAACCAACAUUGUCCCGGCUUUGUUAAACCGAGGUCGAAACUGAUUUUUAGCACCACCAAUCAUCAAACUUGAUGGCGAAGUUCCAGAACCACCACCGUCAAUACAUGUUGCUAAAACGAAUCAACAUCGACACAAAAGCCCAACACUGGUCGAGAUAAAAAGUUCACACGUUUGUCCCGAUGAGUCUAGCAACACAAGGUAUAACGUUUCGAACCCACAAACUGAUUUACUGUUAUUAACAUUUCCUACUGGUUAUUUAGACAGAGUUAGAACGACGAACCCAAGUGAACAACCUAGUCCACGGUGAACAAGAUCGGCCACUGCUCGUGCUUGACAUACACGAUCACACCAGCCCAAUGAAAGGUCAGAAUCAACCCCAAACAGCAGUACUGAAGCUACUGAAAUAUUGAGCCCACCGUAAAGCCCAAUCAAAAAUGAGUACUAGCCUCCACAUAAUAAUAGACGCAGUCAGCGAGGCCAAACAGAUACAAUGCUGCUAGAACAAAGACUACGAGGAUUUCUAAAUUUUACAACAUCAGAACACCAAACAAGAUAUGAGGAAAUUCAACAUCGACCAAUUCCAGUCUAUAAAUAUAUCUUUCUCUUUACUCUUAAUGCACUUAACAUGCGUGAGUCGGUACUUAAUUAUUUUGCUACUAUUGGUUGGACAUCAUAUGCAAAAUAUUUAUUGUGCUGCUUACUAUGAACUUGUGUUCGAAUUUUAUGCGACAUUUAAUUUUAAUAUGUUUGUAGUUACGACUAUUGAAACCCCGGAUGUAAUUAAAUUCAAAUUGCUUGGUAAUUCAUUUUCUAUGUCUAUUUCUGAUUUUAACACAGCCAUGGGUUUUGUUGACCUUGACAAUGUCCAAUCCGACUCAUACCAUAGUGCUCUUCUUGAGAUACCUAGUGAUUUUGAUGCCAAUUUCGCUUACUCAAUUUUGACAAACUUGGUAUCUCGAACUUACAAUUUUAAGACCUCUAAAGCUUUAUCAGUGCAUGAACUAACCCUAAGGCACAUUCAUAGGUUUCUUGCUUUUAAUUAUUCAAGUCGUAAUGAUUCUACGUCUGUCUUAACUAAGACAAAGCUAUUUUUCUUAUGGUACAUGUAUUUCAGUUUUAGGGUCAAUUUGGGAUAUUGGUUUGCAUGUAAUUUUCAUGUUGUAAUUUAGACUCAUUGAUCUCUCAUACUCAGCCCUUACAUCACACACCUAGUUAAAAAGAUAUUUCCAUCUAGAGCUGAUUUUUCAUCAUAAGAUAUGCUUAUAAUAUGGAUCCUUUGGAUGAAUAUUGUUUAGAUUCUAUGGGUUUGCUUGUUGGCACCCCUACUUCAUUUUAUUUUGUUCCCUCAGGUACACGAACCACUCGAAGCAAUAAAGUCUUUUGACGAAGACACGAUCUGGUUACUAAAGAGCAAGAGGAACAACCACCUUCCACUGUGGAUAAACGACUUCGUCGCAUUGGGGCUCGCCUAGAAAUAAUGGAAGCCAACAUCUCAAGCAUCCUCACCAUCUUGCAAAGCGGUCACUUCCACCGCCCUUAGGCCCAUUAAAUAUAAAUGGGGAGUACACUUUCUCCACUCUUAUUAUUCUUUUUGCACAUUGGGGGCAGUGUGGACUAAGUAGGGGGAUCAUGCCAUACUCUCUUUUUGCAUGUGUUUUGCUAAGAAUAAUUUCUUAAUUCAUUUCAAGGGGAAAUAAAUCGAUUAGGGACAUGUGAAUUGGGUAACUGGGAUAAGGUGCUUGGGUUGUCAUCUCGUUUCGCGUCAAAAGAUUUGAUUAUGUCUCAAAUUCGUUAAAAAUAAAUAAUUAAAUAAAGAGAACGUGUUGGGUUGAGUAACUAAGCUAAGGUGCUUGGGUUGUCAUCUUACUUCGCGUCAAAAGACUUGACUAUGUUUGAAAAAAUUAAAAAAAAAUUAAAAAAAUAUACAAAUAAUAAAAAAUAUAUAAAUAAAAGUAUAUAUUCGGUAUGAUCGUGUCGCAUGUUUGAUUAAGCCUAAAUUUAGUGAAAUAGUUGAAUUUGACAUACUGUUCGAGAUUUUAUAAAAUGCUUAUUGAUUGAGCUUAACAAUUGUUUAUUUUUUAUUCACCUAAUUGUUUGCAGUAUGCUUGACUAGGAAAGGAGGUUUUGAUUUUGAAAAGGAUUGAUGAAUUAUUUUUAGUGGAUAUCAUGCUUGAGGACAAGUAUCGGCUAAGUAGAGGGAAUUUGAUAGCAAGAUAAAUUCGUAUUUUAAUAUAUUUAUUUUUGGUUAACUAUCGGAUAAAAUGCUAUUAAAUUUGGAUUUUUCUUAUCAGGAAUGAAGUUGGUGAGCUGAAUUCAAACUCUUACAAAAAAGGGGGCUAAAUUGGAACAGAAAGCAAAAAGGAGGGCUUGGUUGAAAGAUUGAAGAUACAAAGAUGACUGGAUAAAGAUUGAAGGGUUGAAGUCUUUUUUUUAAAAGUGACUAGAUAAAGAUUGAAGGGUUUUUUAUAUUGUUACAACUCUAUAAUUAGUUUAAAUUUAAUUUUUAGUUUAAAUUUGAUUUUUAAGUUUUAAAUUAUUUAGUGAUAAUAUUUAGAAAAAUUUUAGCUAAAUUUUAGCACUAAAAGUGUAUGCAAAUAUCUAAUGGCUACAGUCAAUUAAACACACACUUUGCCUUGGCAUUUAAUAAAUUCUUUUUUUUCUCCCCUUUCCUGCGCCAUUUGCAUUCUGCAAACUUCUAUUCUGUUUCAUUUUUUACUUUAAACCCUUUUUGGUUUAAUUACCUUCCAAGUCCCUUCCCUUUUCCAUCACCCACAAUUCUACAAAUCCAUUUUCAAAGCAUAAUUUUCUCCAUGAUUAACUAAACAUUUUUUAGCUUUAGCUAGGAAAUUACUCCAACAAAACAAUUGUGAGAUACGAACCCGCUUAAAAAAACCUCUCAACGCAGUAUUUUCUAUCUCUUCGGUAUAUGUGAUAGUACAAAUUCGUCCCUUAAAGUUGAUCCAGGUUAGAUUCAAAAAGUGCACGUUGGGUUGGAGUUAUUUGGCGUAUAGUUGGGAAGACAAAUCGGCCGUGCUGUGUUCGAAUCCCGAGAACAAAUUGCCAUGUCUAGGUGGAAAAAACCAAUUGGAUUCCAUUAAGGGAGAUAAAGAUCGGAUUUAAAUAACCCACGCGAUUGAAGCCAUUGAUUCAAGUUGGGCUUUUCAGAUCGCAAGGCUGUCAAAAUCUUAAAUUGCGAACACAUGUAUUGUAGUUAGAAAUUUGGCAAGAGUCGGUUUACAGGUCGUACCGAGAUCGACUACAUAAGGAAAAGUUGGCAGUUGGGACGUUCUUGGUCGCUAUAACCAGCUUAUUGCUUGGAAGGGAAGAUCUAUUUCAAAGACUGAUUCAAUACUGGAGUACAUCGAGACUAAGGCUAAGCUUAAAAAUAUUUUAUUUAUCCAGUUAUUUUAUUUUAUUAAAUUUAUUUUUGCGUUUUCGAACCUAUUUUUGUUUUAUUUUAUUAACUUCAUAUUUUCUUAUUUUAUUAUCUGAAUCAAUUUAAACCCCCUAUUUUUACUUUUUUUUCAACAUUGCUAUGCACAAGUCGUGGGCACGACUGUGACCAUGACAGCGAUCUUGGUCACGAAAAAAGGCGAGAUUAGAUAGUCAGUCCCUGUGGAUUCGACCCUACUGCUCUAUACUGCUAUUUACUAUUAUUUUGUCAUAGAAAUUUAUAUUUGGUGGUUUCGACCCCCAUCAAAAACCUAUUAUGAAGGAACAAUUCGAAACCAAAAAGCAAAAAUCGAGCCUGAAGCUAGAAUAUCAUCACAUCGAUUUAUUCAAUCAAUUUUGUUUCUUUUUAUUUUACUACUAUUUCGAUUUUAAUUAUUUCUAUUAUUUUUAAUCAAACUUAAUUCCCUUUUUUUUCACAUAGAUCGUCACACGUUGUGGGCACAAUAGUUGCCUGACACACAAUUUGGUUUAUAUCGAAUGGCAAUUUGGGAUUUCCAAGUCUCUGUGAGAUCGACCUUACUUCUUACAUUGCUAUUUAUAUACUAUUUAGGUUUAAGAAUAUUAUUUUUAUGAAUUCGAAACCCAUCAGAUGUUAAUGCAAUAAUUUGUGCUGCCUGCAAUUAUUCAGAGAUGAUGACAGAUCACAUAAAAUUGUUGAAUGAUAAGAUACAAACCACAUUCUUAUCUACCCUGAAUCACUAGUAGGAGUGAGCAUUCGAUCAAAUCGAGUGAAAAAAUUUUGAGUUAAUUGAGUUGACGAGUUUUAUUUUAUCAUCCUAACUCAAUUUGAAAAUUUUUCGAAUCAAGUUGAGUGAAAUGAAAAUUCAAGUUGAGUCAAAUCGAAUCACGUAAAAUUAUUUGAAUUGAAUUAAAAAUUAAACAUGUCAAAUUAAAGUCUUGUUAUAGUAUAACUAAUUCCAAGUAUAUUUAAAAACCUUUUCAAAGCAAAAUAAGAAAAAAAAAUAGGACACUUUGAUAAACUUGAAUCAUUAACUAACUUAUUUAGAUCCCAAAAUUAUUAUUUUAGAAAAUAUUUAAAAUUUUAACUUUCUUUAUAUAUUCUUUAGAAAAUUUUUAAUUUUUAUAAUUUUUUAAAAAUAUAAAUUUUAGAACUUUUUAUAAAUAUUUUGAAUUUUAAAAAUUAUUUUGAAUUAUUUUGUAAUUUUUGUUGAGAGAGACCAAUUUGCUCAUUUUCAAAAUUUACAGGGAACAAAUGGUAUUUACACCAAUUUGUUAUUCAAAUUAUAAAAUUCAAGUCAACUGGAACUCGAAUUACUUAUUCAAGUUGACUCAAAAAAAUCAAAUAACUUAAUUCGUUUAACUCAAAAUUUAAUUUUUUUUUUAAUUUUUUAAUCGAAUUAAGUUUUGCUCACUCCUAAUCAUUGCUGGAAAAUCUAUCUACUAGCUAAACUAACUAUGAAGUUGAUCAUUGUUUCCGAUCUUAAUCAAACUAGAGAAAAUCAUGCAAUUGGAUUGAUAUUCAAUUUUUUAUAUGUUCUUUUUAGAGCUCUUAAUAUUUUUUUUAUAAUUUUUAAAAUGUUUUUAAGUUUUCACUCAUCCAAAAUGAUUUUUUAUAUAUUCAUUCUAUACACAGAUUUUUUUUUUAAAUUGAAUUUUUUAAUUUUUAAUAAUAUGGCAGUUUUUUGUGACUUCUACAAUUAUGUGGACAAGAUUAAUUAUCAAAUUGGUCAACUGACAGUUUGUUAAAAAAAAGGUCAAUUGACUUUUUAAUCACUAAAAAUUUAAUUGGGUAUAAUUUUUUUUUAUUAUAAAAGCUCAAUUAAAUUUUUUUAUUUUUUAAUUAUGGCUUUUUUUUACGAGCCUAAAGGAAACCCUUCCAUUGGAAGCUGUUUUCACCCACUAAAGAUCAAUGUUACAGUGAAAAUGAAAAAGUGAUACGGUGAAGUAAUUUCACCAUUGUCAUCCAAAAGCUAUUUUAGUAUCAAUGAGAAAGAAUAAAAGAGAAUGUACUCUAAAGGGAACCUUAGAAGGCCUGAGAAAAAAAAAACCAAUGAUAUCGCUCAGAUGGAUGCCACCACACUCAACAUCACCCGGCUUGCCCCUAACCUGCCAUCCACGUUAACUUUCAGGCAGCCAAGUGGAGGAGACCAAAACAAUAUCUCUUGACCGUCUUACAUAAUCUAGAAAGUAGCAUCCUUUUAUUAUCAAACCUGAUAGCAUUGCGUGUGAGCUAUAUAACUAUAUAGCACCGAAAACGUUUUUUAAAAAUAAUCAACAUAUAAUACAUUCUUAAAAAACAUUAUAAUCAAUCAAUCAAUCAAUUACAGUCUCAUAAAAAAUCUAUCAAAGAUGAACUAGAAAUUAAUAUGGAGAAAGAAAACUCAAGGACAGAAAGUUACAAGAUAAUUUGCUCCGCCAGUGCAGGUAAACGUACUAGUUUUAUCAUCAUAAGCAUAACUAUAAGCCUGAGGACAUUGACUCUUAAAAAUCUUUGAAUAUUUCGUCGGCUGGCACGUCGCCGGGGAAUUCUAAGCACUGGUGCAGCAAUAUUGCGGCUGCUUAAACGCCAAACACGCGCUCUUGCAGGCGAUAACACCUCCUCCCAAUCCCUUAACUUGCAAUUCCGAGGGACAAACUGUGUUGACAUCGGCAGCGCAACUCGUGGUGUUGCAACCUAAUAAUCUGCCAUGUGGGGUGACUGAAAGUGGCAAGUUAAAGCCAUCGACGAGGCUAAUAUCAUAAAAAUCUUUUCCAUUGUUUGGUGCCAAGGUGAACUCUAUCAAAGAUGCUGGUGGGAUUGCACCACCGCCAUUGCAUGUAAUCUGACCAGAACCACAGUCGGCGGUGGCGCAUUGGAACUUACUGUCAGUAGUGACGCAAUGAGUUCGACCCCAAAAACGGCCGGACCAUGGCGGUGGAACGUUUAAGUUCAGUGAAGCUUGUGUGGCUAACUCGAAACCGGUUGAGGAUAAUUGAGGACCUGCACCUGUUAGAAUUCCAGGCCACACCGUGUACGGGCAGUUGUUUUUUAACGUGAAUGUAGAUGAUUGAGCCUCUGCAAUAAAAAUUAAAAAUUUUUAAAACAGAAAAUUCAAACAAAAUUUAAGUAUGGAAGGAAAAAGAAGGGGAAAUUAUUUACCAUUGAAGAAGAAAAUGGCAAGGGAAAGGGCAAAGAUAACUUGAACCUCCAUCAGUAACCCCUUUUUUUCCCUUUGAAUUGCCUUUAUUAAGUUCAGAGAAUAAUGAUGCAUGCAUUCAUAUGCCAAGUUUCAAAAACUAGGGAAAUUUAUAUUGAAAGCAGAUUAUGUUUUUGCAUGUCAAUAACAGUAUUGAUUAAUUAAUGCUGAAUUCUCUUUUGAGUUACUGCCCCUCAAGAACCAACAAAUAUUAACAGUUUGGGUUCAUACAGAGAAAAAGUCUUGGCAUAAGCCAAAAACAAUAAAAAAAAUAAACUAAUUUUAAGGUCUUGAAUUGUCUGUAAACGUAAAAGUGGUGAAAAAACGACAGAAAACCAUUCAUAAGUCGUUGAAUAAUUAUAUUCUCAUGGCAUCACACGUUUUGUAUACAUACAAAUGUAGGAUGUAAAACGUAUUGUUUUGGUUUCUGUGUGGUAUAAAAUAUGAAGCCGUUGUAUCGUUGCCGUCGCCGGUCAUAUUCCACAAUCUUUUGGAUUUCCUUUCCUAAACACAUACAAGAAGAAGUCGACAACACCUAUUUUCUCCCACUUAAGUUUCCCAUAUCUCAAUCUUGGGCUACAAUCUUAUUAUUCCAUAGGAUGGCUAAACUCAAACAUUAAUAAAUGUCACGUAAACCAAAUUACAAUUAAACUAUAACAUAAAAAUGUAUAUAUAUCAUGUAUCAAGAAUAUAUAUCCUUCCCAUCCGUCCUACUCCUACUUUUAGUUUUUCUUUUAUAAGGAAAACAGCAUAUCUAUCUAUAAUUCUACCCAAACAAAAUCUAUAAUAUAUAAGCAUAAAUUUAAAAAUAAGCAUUUAAAUUGAUAGAAUACAUUUUAAUGUUAAUUUAAUUAUUAAUUGACAUUAAAUAAAUAUAUUUUUAAUAAUAGAGUUUUUGUUUAUUUUAAUUAUAUAAUUAAUAAUAAUAGAUAAAAUCUCUUAUAAAAAAUUAAUAGAUAAAAUCAUAUCAAUAUUUUUUUUUGUAUAAUAGAGUUUUUAUUGGCUUGAUUAAUUAUUAAUAAUUUACAUUAUUUGAAAUCAAUUAUAAUUUAAUUAGUGUUAGAGUUAUAUACCUAUUAAAAUUAAAACUUAUCAUUAUAAAUAGCAUUCAACAAAAGGAACGAAGUUACUAUUUAUCAGCAUUGGUAAGUUUGAAUUGUCUCAAAAACAAUGAAUAAUUUAAAUUUAAAAAAUAUAUAUUUUCGAAGAGUAAAUUUCAAGUCAUAGGCAAAUUAAAAUAGCAGACGAAAGAUUAGAAUAAUUCGUUUUGUACCAAGUGUUGGUGCUUUAAUAUUGUGUUGUUUCAAAAUAUUAUGCUUUAAUAUGGAUAUUUGGCGUAAUUUAUCAUUAAAAGUCUAAUUUUUUUUUAAAUUUAUCGAAAUGGGCCCGAUAUUUUAUUAUUUACCGGAAUGGGCCCUUUUCCCCUAAAUCGCGUCCACGUCAGCGCGAUGUCAUGGGAUGUGUCAGCAAAUCGCAUCCAUGUCAGCGCGGUUUGCUGCCGUGGCAGCAAAUCGCAUCCACGUAAGCGCGAUUUGUAUCCACGUCAGUAAAGCACACUGACGUGGACGUGAUUUGCUGACGUGUAGCGCGCUCCUGAGGACGCGAUUUGCCCCGCGCGUGAACAGUGCAACGGUCCAAAAAAAUAUAUAAAUACCCCCACCCUUUUUUUCACAAACUAAUCCUCUCUCAAAUUUCCUCUCAAUUUCCUCUAAAUUUCCUCUCAAUUUGCUCUCAAAUUCCUUCCAAAUUUCUCUCAAAUCCAUAUUUAAUCUCAAUUUGCUCUCAAGUUCCUCUUAAAUUUCUCUUAAAUCCCUAUUUUUAAAUAAUUUUAAAAAAAUUUAUUUUUUUAAAUUUUUUAAACCGUAAAAAUUUGUACGAUUUCAACAAUGGCCGGAGAAUUGACUCGUCUUGAUAAGCAGCACAUAUCGGUGGAACAAAUGAAAAUGGUAAGCGUUAAAUUUAAUUUUUAAAUAUUAUUUAAGAAUUUUUUAUUUAUGCAUUUUUAGAUAAUUAUUAAUUUAUUAUUUGUUAUAAAAGUCUAUAGAUCGGAUAUUGGAAUGCAAUAUCCGGAAUAUGCAUGCUCCUCCAUCACCGUUGGUAGAGAACUACCUGCGGGAAGCGGGUUUUUGGCACGUGGCAACGGUAGGUCGGGGAUGCAAGGUGGACCCGAAACUAAUCAGUGCAUUGAUCGAGAGGUGGAGACCCGAGACGCACACAUUCCAUCUUCUAUGUGGAGAGUGCACUAUCACUUUGGAAGAUGACAGUCUGCAAUUGGGAUUGCCAGAGGACGGGUACCCAGUCACCGGGUCUGUCCAAUCUAGCGAUUGGGGAGCGGUGUGCUACAAGCUUUUGGGCGUUAUUCCGGAGAAAAUGGACGGAGGUAAGAUCGAGAUGGGCUGGUUACAAGACACAUUCCCGGAUCCGGAUGAAGAUUCAACCGAAAUAGAAAGAAUUCGAUAUGCUCGGGCAUACAUUCUUCAGUUAAUUGGAGGUUAUCUGAUGCCGGACUCGUCACAGAGCCGCGUACAUCUAAGAUGGCUGCUGAAACUCGUUGAUUUUAGAGCAGUUGGUGAAUUGAGUUGGGGGUCUACCGUCUUGGCAACGUUAUAUCAAGAGAUGUGUGGGGCGACGCGAUCGAGGAAAGUAAAAAUCGGAGGUUGCCUGUCACUACUGCAGUCAUGGGCACGGUUUUGCUUUCUAUUUCUACGUCCUCGAGUGGACCACCCAUAUACAUUCCCACUCAUAACGAGGUAAAUUUUAUAUUAGAUUUUACAAUUAUUAUGUAGAUUUUUAAAAAUAAAACUAUGCUAAAAUUUUAUUUAAUUAGGUGGAACCAUCCGGCAAGUCAUGCUCGAUUACCUACCUCUCUUGAAGAUAUACGGCUUCUAUUAGACCAACAGUCAGAAGCACAUGUAAGUAUUAAAUAAAAUUGAUAUUUUCAUCAUUCGCUAGUCGAUUGGUAUAUAGUAUUUAGUAUUAUGUAUAUAACUAAUAUUUCUAUCAUGUUCAUAUAGUUUCAAUGGACACUAUACGAGGAUCCGACAAUUCGGGCAGUAAUUCCAAAUGAGUUCUUACAAAAUCCAAAUGUUUGGCACGCAAAAGUCGUGUUGAUCAACUACGCGACCGUAGAUAUGCACCAAUCAGACAGGGUGUUACGGCAAUUUAAAUGUAGACAACUGAUUCCCGUGGAACCUGAGGUGUUUGACGAUCACCACAAAAUCGACAUUCAGCAAUUGAACACGGAUUGGCUGAGAUUCUAGUCCGAGUACUUCCAAAUGUGGGAAGAUCAGUAUGAUUAUAUACCUACUAAGGAACCGAUCAUCGUUCUGGAGUUAGCGUGUGUGCCGGAAUACAUGCCAUGGUUUAGGAUCCAUGGCAAGCCGUAUUUACUGUCGCCUAAGGAGAGGCAGCGGCAAUUACGUGUCCAAAGGGAAAGACGCGGGCCUUUAAAUCCAAGACGAUAGGACGACAACACUGGCCCCUCAAUGAGGCCCAAACAUUCACCCAGCCCAUCAUCAACGGUCAUUCAAUCACCAAGCCCAACGAUAGCACCGACACAGUCACCCGACCCAACAUUUCAACCGAUGAUACCCACGCAACCGCCUUUUCAGAUGAUGCCAGGUGCGUUUCUUAGCCCUUUUAUGUAUCCUAACCCUUAUAUGUUUUCUUUUCCGAGUCCUAUGGCAGGUUGGAGCCAAUGGCCCAGUUCAGCUCCAUUUCCUGUUACGCCGAGUGAACCGCCGAUGUAUAGGCCAACGACGCACGAGGGAUCACCAAAGGGGCCGUUGGGGAGCUCUUCUUUUUACCAAUCCCCACCACCAUAUGGGUUUCAAACACCGUCGCCGUUGGUGAUGCAAACACCUCCACAUUCACUAUUCUAUCAAGGUGGCUCAUCGUCCCAACUCCGACAACCAGAUGUCCUACCGGAAGAACCAGAAUCCCCGCCGGAGGAACCACAACCACCGCCGGAAGCUGGACAAAGGAGGAAUCCAGCGCGUAACCGCGACAGCCGCCAUGUGGCAUUGAAUCCGGCGGGCACAGACAUUAAUUUUUGUAUUUAAAUCUAUUUGUACAAAUAUUUUGAAUAUUUUGAUAUUAUUUGAUGUAAUAAAAUAAAAAAAAUUUGAGUUAUUACUUAAAAACCCUAAACUAAUUUAUUAAAAAUUUAUAAAUUUAUAAUUUAUAAUUAAAUGCAUAAUUUAACUGACAAAACUUAAACCCUUAACUUAAAAACCCUAAACCCUUAACUUAAAACCAAUAAACCCUUAACCUAAAAACCCUAACUCUUAACUUAAAAACCCUAAACCCUUAACCUAAAAACCCUAAACCCUUAACUUAAAAACCCUAACCCUUAACUUUAAAACCCUAAACCCUUAACUUAAAAAUCAUAACCCUUAAAUUAAAAACCCUAAACCCUUAACUUUAAAACCCUACACCCCUAACUUAAAAACCUUAACCCCUUAACUUAAAAACCCUAACCCUUAAAUUUAAAACCAUAAACCCUUAACUUAAAAAUCGUAACCCUUAAAUUAAAAACCAUAAACCCUUAACUUUAAAACCCUACACCCCUAACUUAAAAACCCUAACCCAUUAACUUAAAAACAUUAAACCCUUAACUUAAAAACCCUAAUCCUUAACUUAAAAACCCUAACCCUUAACUUAAAAACCCUAAACCCUUAACUUAAAAACCUUAAAACCUUAAAACCUUAAACCCUUAAAUUAAAACCCUAAACCCUUAACUUUAAAACCCUAACCCUUAACUUUAAAACCUUAAACCCUUAACUUAAAAACUAUAACCCUUAAAUUAAAAACCCUAAACCCUUAACUUAAAUAUAAUUUUAUAAUUUUACUAACCAUUAAUACAAUUAUCAAUUAAUAAUUUUACAUUCACAUAAUGUUAAAUUUGGAAAAAUAUUUUGACUGGUACUAACAAUUAAUAAUUUGAUAAUUUUACUAAAAAUUAAUAUAAUUAUCAAUUAAUAAUUGAAAAUAUAUAAAAAAAAUUCAAUUACAUUCAACUAUUACGAUUAGGGCAUGAUCGACUUGUAUGGCCUGAAUUCCUACACCAUCCGCACAACUUCUCUUGACUGGUUGAUUCUCAGAUAUCCAUAUUGUUACAUAUUCUAGUCGAGCAAGGUUGACCUUUUGGUUUGCGACGCAAUUCUCUAUCCGGUAACAGCUUAAAAAGGGUAAGAGAUACGGGCGGCCACUUACGUUCAUCUGCGACCGAUGGGACAACGUGUCUUCGGAUGUUGUACAUGUUUUCUAAUUUGUACACUUCGUCCACAUAGCUCAUCGAAUCCAGACAGAGAUUCUGACAAGCCGCAACAACAUAAGCGCAUGGAUAACGAAGUGCAUCAAACAUCCCACAGUCGCAAGUCUUAUUCCACAAGUGUACACAAUAUUGCCCGCCAACAACACCUUGGUGCAGUCUGUCAAACUCUGUCAUGUGAAACCAUAAGUUGUCUCAAUCGUAACACACAGUGUGCAUGGUGUUUGCCCGCGCAUUGGCCUUGUUAAUUUCUUGAACUACCUGACUGCACCAUACAUGACCUCCCUGCAUCUGGCCUGCAUAACUUGCUGCUCGCUUUGGAAAUAGUGCCAUCAAACGAAAAUAUGUCUCUCACACAACCGAUGUUAUCGGUAGAUGACGCGUUCCUUUAAGAACAGAAUUUAUGCAUUCAGCCAGGUUUGACAUCAUAUGGCCAUAUCGUAGGCCGUCGUCGUAUGUUUGUGCCCACUGUUCGAAACGUAUGUUUCAAAUGUAGUCCGACCCUUCUCCGUUAAUUGAACGUAAAAUUGCCAACAUCUCGUGAAAACGAUCUUUAUUUAUUUCAUACCCUGCCAAUAUAAGUUCAUAGCGAAUAUUACAUACCACUUUUUCAUUUACAACUAAUUCAAAUUGACAAACGAAAGAACACAGAUAGAGACUAAAUACCCAUGUUGGUCACUUGUCGUCGUUCGCUCUUAGAUGGAUAUUGCCUGUAGUAGUUGGAAGCAACGUGCCUUAAGAAAUAUCGAUAGUAUCAGGUUGGGGGCACACAUACCUCCUUAACCUAGAGAGAAACAAAUCCAAGUCAUCAGACGACUCCCCCGGUGUUAUUGCAAAUGUAAUUUGAAGAAUUCUCCCACCGCCAUCCUGUGCCACUACAAGUAAUAGCCGAUGAGUAUACCUACCAAACAUAAAGGUGCCGUCAAUUUGUACCAAUGGCUUGCAGUAUGAAAAUGCGUCUCGGCAUUGCUUAAAGGUCCAAAACAAGCGCUUGAACACUCGGCAUCCACGUAGCAAUCGACCGUUGUAGUACACAUGUUCCGUUUCAAGGUCUGUGAUGGCACCUGAGACGUAUCUCUCUAGCACUUGACACCACUGCCAUAUUUCAUUAUAUGAGGCGUCCCACCCACUAUGCAUAUUCUCCAACGCCUUUUGCUUAGCUAUCCAAGCCUUGCGGUAAGAGGGCGUGUACCCCAUUUGGCUACAGAUAUUGACAAUUAACACCGGUAUUGAAGUCUUGGGAUCUCCUUUUACCGUGGGCAGUAUCAAGCUAGCUAACAUAGCUGAAUCCAUCUUGGGAUGAUCUUAUGAAACACCUAUAAACUGAGUACAUUAAAUAAUGCAAUAUUACAUAACAAAAGUAUUAUUCAGAAACCGUCAAUACUGUACCUCCAGCACAUGUAUGUGGACCUUUGUACUUUUUAAUCUCUUACAACCCUAUCAUUUUCCUUAACGAGGAGUAGAUUUUCCAUGAACAUGUGCCGUCUUGGACUGCACACUUCGCCUCAAACUUAUCAGAUUUGGAUUUAACGACGUGGUAGUUAACGCCGUUUUUUAUGCUAUGUUGUUUCAAAGCACCAAAAAACUAUCCUUAUUGGUAAACUGAUUACCAACUUCAAAUUCACCCGAAUCUAGCCCUGAACUUGUACGAUCACGCAACCGGUGUGGUAGAUCUAGAAACUCUAACGCAUCUUCUACAGACAGAUCGACAUUUUACAUGUGGGCUGGAGGUGAGUAUGCUUUGAAUCGUGGAUUUUCUUCUUCAUCUGAACUCCUUUCAGCAUCUUCAGAUUCUGUUUAAAUAGGCUCCGAUUCAGAAAAUAAGCCAACUUCUGCACCAUCAGGCCCAAGCUCUCGAGGUGGAACCACAUCGGAGUCAUCUUCUAACCCACAAUCAUCUGCAGCGUACGAGGUCCCCUCACCGGUUGACGUCGUAAGGAGUACAUCAUCCCUUCUUCUGGGCAUUUCAUAACGUCCCCAAUUGGAUGAAGAUUGCCAACCAUGAGAACUUGAUGUCGUUCUCCAGUACGUAUUUCCAGCAUCAAACAUCGAGCCACCGACAGAGUGUCUUGCGGGGAAUGUGUAUUCAACACCGCUACCAAACAUGGGUUGUUCCGUGUUUUGUAACCCGCUAACUGAAUGUUGGCAAAGGUUCGUGUAUACAUCUCGAACACCGAUUACAAGUACAUCAUUUGGCGAUGUAAAUUAUACAUAUAACUCAAUAUAAUGUGCUCCACUAGCAAGAUGAGUCUGCACCAUUGCCUCCAAGCUACGAGCACCUUUUAUGUCGAACGAGUCAUAUGUCAUCGGAUCAACAGAAUGACAAAAUUGAUACGUAAUAUACAAAACUUUCAUUGGCGUCAUUUCGAAAAUUUUACGCCUAAUUCUUUUACGAAGUUCUGUCAAAUUUAUGUUCCGGUUAAAAACCAGUCGUAUCGUAUUCUCCGAUAAAAAAACAACACCAUUCUCGGUGUGGCAAACCUCACCAUCGUAGUAAAUAACAGCACUAAUACGUUCACUCAUAUUUGAAACUCUAACCUUCUUAGCCUCUCUAAAUUGUUUCUGCUGUGACUUAUGCAUUCUAAGAACAUUUUUUGUCUCAUUUAUAGCCUUAGCCCAAACAUGCUACUGUAGCAAAAGUGCGUCCACGUGGGCGCGAUUUCACAAAUUCUUCUCAUAAAGCAUCCUGCUAGAAGCGAUUUUAUACUAUUUGCUCAGAAACGUCAAGUCGAAAUUAUUUUUCCAAGACCUACUGUAGCAAAAACACGUCCACAAGGGCACGAUUUCAAAAAUUCUUCUCAAAUAGCAUCCUGCUUGCAGCAUUGUUUUAUACUAUUUGCUCAGAAACGUCAACUCGAAAUUAUUUUUUCAGGACAUACUGUAGCAAAAGCACGUCCACGUAGGCGCAAUUUCACAAAAUUUUCUUAUAAAGCAUCCUGCUUAGAGCGUUUUUUUUAACUAUUUGCUCAGAAACAUCAACUCGAAAUUAUUUCUUCCAGGACCAACUGUAGUAAAAGCGCAUCCACGAGGGCGCGAUUUCACAAAUUCUUCUCAUAAAGCAUCCUGCUUGAAGCGUUUUUUAAACUAUUUGCUCAGAAACGUCAACUCGAAAUUAUUUUUCCAAGACCUAUUGUAGCAAAAGCGUGUACACGUGGGCGCAACUUCAAAAAUCCUUCUGAUAAAUCAUUUUGCUUUGAUUUUAUCUUAAAAACUCAUAAACACGAAACAUAAUCUAAUUUUGAAUAAAUUUUAAUUAAUUUAAUUACGAAAUCCUGAACCCUAAUCCCUUAUUUUUUUCUCCAAAAACCCUAAAAACCUUAAAAAUCCUAACCUGGGAAACACGACGAAAUCGCGUCCAUAGGGGCGCACUACGUGGUAGCAAAUCGCGUCCACGUCAGCGCGCUUUGCUGAUGGGACACAAAGUGCGUUGACAUGGACGCGGUUUGCUGACACAUCUCCUGACAUCGCGCUGACGUAGUCGCGAUUUAGGGAAAAAUGGCUCAUUCCGGUAAAUAAUAAAAUACCGGGCCCAUUUCGGUAAAUUUAAAAAAAAGUUAACUUUUUUUGGUAUUUUGCCCGGAUAUUUGGUUUUAUUGCAAAUAUUGUGGUUUUAAUACUAUUACAAUAAAUUAAUUUUGAAAAUUAGAUUAUAUUUAAAAUUAAUAUUUUUUUAUAUUAACAUAUAUGUAAUAUUUAUUAAUGCACAUAUAAUAUUUUUAAAAUUUUUGGUGUGAUAUUUUAUAUUUUUAAAAUUAAUACAUAUGUAAUGUAUUAUACAAAUAAAUGAAUAAAACACCAAAAAAAUUCAUAUAAUACCAAAAUGCAAUGCAAGGGUCAAAUUUUAAGGUAAUGAGAUUUGAAUUAAGGACUAAAUUUAACAUAUUAAAAUUUUCAGAUAUUAAAUUUAAAAAUAAAAAAAUCAAAAACUAAAUGGAAUAAAUUAGAAAAAAGAAGAACAUAUUAAUUACAUAAAUUAGAGAAAACAAUUAUGAUAUAACAUUAGCUAGUUUGAAAUAUAAUUCAAAUGAUCAUCAUAACAAUUCCAUUUUACCGGAAGUGUAGCAUAAUAAUUAAAAACUACAAUUUGUAGAGCCUGAUUUUAGUAUUCGGAAAUUUUAGACAUUUCACUGAAUUGUUAUAUUUUGCUAUCCUUUGUUAAGGAAUUUUUUUUUUCAUGAUCUUAUGUUGAAUGGUUUGUUUUACUGGCAAUCCAGGAAUAUUUUUCAAUUGUAUGUUGGGGAGCAUCUACUUACAUAGUAUGAAAAUUAAAAUAGUUUUAUACACUUUUAUUACUAUUUAUAUGAUUAAUACUUUAAUAAUCCAAUUGUAAAAUUUAUUAAUAUAAUUAUACUUGUCAUGCAUGUAAAUUUUCGAACAUAUCUGAUACCUCUAUCACAUCGAUUUAAAAUACUAUCUCUCUCUAUAUAUAUAUUUAUAUUUAACUGUUGAAUUUUUUUUACAUAAAACAAAUAGUAAAAAGUUUUAAAUUUGCAUUAAUUUUUUAAGACGAUGGGCCAAGAGUGCUCUCUUCUAGUUUCUCAGAGAAAUAGUGCUUGUUGUGGUUGGGUUGAAGGGGGUGGUGGCUUUGCAAUAAUAGGGAGAGAUGAGAUCUCCAUACUAAAGGAAGAACUCGUUCAACUAACGGUCAAGAGUUUGAGGGUGGUUCCAAAUAAGAAUCCAACAUUGCUUUGUUCUAUUUGGACAAAAAAAUCUUAUAACCCGGAUAGUUUACGUGCACAAAUGAGAAGUAUUUGGAAAACGAAGAAGUUUGAGAUACAAAGGGCAAGUCACAACUUAUUCUUAAUUUUGUUUGUGGAUGAAAGUGAUUUGGAGAUUGGAAGGGAGACCCUGGUUGUUCCGCAAACAAAUUAUUGUGUUUAAUCAUUUGAGUGCACCAAUGGAGCGAAAUUAGAUCCGAUUAGUGCGUCACCGUUUUGGCUUAAAAUUGGUCCUUGCCCACCAGAGUGUGAUAAGAAAGAUCUUAUGCAUGCUAUCGGAUCAACCUUUGGAGGCAUAAUGAGAUUGGAGAUUAAGGGUGAGUUUUGAUGACUAGGAUUUUUUUAGAUGUUCAGAAACCACUAAGAAGGGGUAUAUUUGUAGUGGUUGUGAUUAGAGAAAAGGUAUGGAUUCCGUUUAAGCAUGAAAAUCUCUUGGCGUUUUGUUUUGGAUGUGGUAAAAUGGGCCAUAGAGUAAAACAUUGCGAGGCACUCACAAUUGUUAAAAAGGAGAGGAGAGAUGAUGAACUCCCAUAUUCAAUUGCUUUGCGAGUAGAAUUGAGUAUGAUUGGGAAGGAAAGCUUACUGUUGGGAUUGCCAAUAAAAAAUCUAUCCAGCAAAGUCAAUACAUAAGGGAGGAGGUGUACAGUUGCCAGAUUUGGUGCUUUAGGGGAGGAAAGGACAAAUCCAACGGAGUCCUUGCUGCAUAAGAGUACUCCUGAUUCGCGGUAAAUUUUGAGGGAUAAUGGGAAUAUUAUCUCUCCACUAAGAGAAAGAUAGCGAUAAGAGGAUCAUUACCAUUUUAGGUUUGGAGGGAGUUUCGGGUUUAGUGGACGAGGGUAAUUUAAGUGGGAUAGUGGAGGUUAACAUAUAGAGGUCCAAAAGGCCCAGUUGGAGAAGAAUUGUUAGGGAUUUAAUAGAGGCUAAAAAGAAGAGUGUCAAUAAACUAGGUAAAUGGAAAUUGGAUUUGGUGGAUACUAGAGAAGAUGAGGUUUCCAUAAUUGAUAUGACAUGUGUUAAAAGAAGUCGAGUUGGGGAUAAGGAUCACGAUGGUGAUGGCUCGACGAAUGAAGUGAUGGUCACAUUGGAGCUAUGCUCCAACCCUUCUAAAUUAAUACCAGCGACUGCCAUAAAGCCAACCAAGUGCAAUGAAAACCAUCAGUUGAAAUGUCCAUGGUCUAGGGAAUCCACAGACAAUUAAGAGGCUUCAACAUAUGCUGAAGUUACAUAAUCCCCUAUUGGUCUUUUUUACGAAGACGAAACUUAAUGGAAGGCGUAUGGAAAGGGUUUGAAGAAGGUGUAGCUUUUCGAGCGAAAUUGAGGUGAGUGCGAAAUGUUCUUAUGGAGGGAUCUGCUUAGCAUGGAAGGAAGAAAUCACAGUUGCCUUAAAGACUUUCUCAAAGAAUCACAUUGAUGUCGUAGUAAAAGAUAGUUUGGAAAAUGAAAUUUAGAGAUUUACAGGGUUUUAUGGUAACCCAUUUCAUAAUAUUAUAAAUGAGUCUUGGAGCGUAUUGAGGUGUUUAGGAAACGAGCAAGGAAUACCUUGGCUGGACUGCGAGGACUUUAAAGAGAUCUAGUACUCUUUUGAAAAGGCUGGAGGGUUAUCGAUGGAUAAGCGCAGGACAGAGGAUUUCCGAGUUGCUUUGGAGGACAGCAAUUUAACAGAUAUCGAGUAUUAUGGCCCAUGAUUUAAUUGAGAAUGGGGGAAUUUACCGAAGACGAAUAUUAAGAAGAGGUUGGACAGGAGGUGGCAAAUGAUGAAUGGUUGAAUAGAUUCUCGUCUGUCAAGGUGAGACAUCUUCUACACAUUCUCUAAUCAUUGCCUAUUUCUAAUUUGUACGGAUUAGGAAAAGGUAUCUUAGAAAUGGGCGAUAUUCCGAUUUGGAGCUUGGUGGGAAAUAGAGGAAUCUUUUGAAGUUAUAUUUGGGAGUCCUCGAGAUUUAUUGCGAAAAAGUUAGACAAGAUGCGUACUAGUUUGGUCGAGUGGGGAAAGUUAGUAAGGGCUAAACAAGAGGGUCUGCAAAGGGGUCUUUUUAAGAGAUUGGAAGGUUUGAGGGAUGGGGUAUAAGAUGAUGACAAUAUGGCAAACUUGUUAGAUAUGAAAUUAUUGCUUAAUAUAGAGAUUAAUAAAGAUGAAGCUUACUGGAAACAGAGGGAUCAAGUUAAUUGGUUGAGGUUAGGGGAUCACAAUACUAACUUUUUCCAUAGAUAUGCGUCUGUUCAAAAAAAGAUGAAUACGAUAAGAAGGUUUGUAAGGGAUGACAAUGGGGAGGUCUAUAAUGAUAAGAUUGGGGAGAUAGAAAUGGAAUGUUUCCAAAACAUUUUUUAUUCAAAAGGAAUAGGAGAGCUUUCACACCUCUUAUCGGGUAUUGAAGUGAGUAUUGAUUCUGAAGCUAAUAAUUUGUUGAUGGUUAGAUCUACAGAGGAAGAGGUUUUUUCUACUUUAAAGGAAAUGGGUCCUACUAAGACAUUGGAGGAAGAUGACUUUUCGGCUUUAUUUUUCAGAGGUACUGGCACACUAUAGGUAAUGAUGUCACAAAGUUCUGUUUAGGCAUUUUAAAUAAGGGUAAGGAGCUUGAUUUGGUUAAUGCAACGGAGAUAGUGCUUAUCCCAAAAAUUCAAAAUCCAAAGGAAAUGGCCAAUUUCAAACCUAUUAGUUUAUGCACAGCUUUGUACAAAAUUGUUACUAAAGUCAUAGCAAACCGUCUCCAAGGAAUUAUUGAAGUGUGUAUAGACAGUGCGCAAUGUUCAUUUCUACCCGACAGAUUAAUCUCCGAUAAUGUGUUGAUAGCUUACAAGAUCUUACACACUUUUAGACAGGAGCGUACUAGGAAAAAAGGUUUUAUGGCGCUCAAAUUGGAUAUAAGCAAGGCCUAUGAUAGAGUUGAGUGGGGAUUUUUAGAAGGUAUGAUGUUGCAAAUGAGAUUUGACAGCAGUUGGGUGGCCUUUAUUAUGCAAUGUAUUUCCUAAGUUUCUUAUUCGGUCAAUGUUAAUGGAGCCAAAGGGAGGAUGUUCAAGUUGUCAAGGGGACUUGCCAAAGUGAUCCACUAAGCCCGUUUUUUUUCUCAAAUAUAGCGAAAGCCUUUUAGCUUUAUUACGUUUGGAACUGAAUGAAAGAUGUUUGUGGGGGGCUAAGGCUAGUAAGGAAGGCCCACAAAUCUCUUAUUUGCUCUUUGUGGUUGAUGGUAUUGUCUUUAGAGAGGCAUCCACUAAAGGUGUUUUGGGCAUGAAAGAAAUACUCCAUGAAUAUGAAGAAUGCUUAGGUCAAUGUGUUAAUUUUGAUAAAUCUACAACCUUUUUCAGUUCAAAUACUUUGAAGAAGGUGAAAAACUGAUUAGCAAAUAUUUUGGGUAUAGGGUGUCUAAUAAUUUGAAGAGAUACCUAGGGCUACCUAACAUUGUAGAGAAAGGAAAACGUGCAUCUUUUCAAAAUUUGAAAGAUAAGAUUAAAGAUAGAGUUGAGGGGUGGAGCACAAGUGUUUUGUCACAAAGGGGAAAUGAGGUUUUUAUUAAGUCAGUUCUACAAACUAUACCAACCUAUGCAAUGUCUUAUUUCCUAUUGCCAAAUUCCUUUUGUAAGGACAUUGAAUAAUUGUUAACAAGGUUUUGGUGGCAAAAGGAUCAUGGGAGGAGGGGGUAUUCAUUGGUGUACUUAGAGUCAAAUGUAAGACAAAAAAAAAUGAAGGGCAUGGGUUUCAAGAACAUGGGAAAAAUUUAACAUUUCGUUAUUAGAAAAGCAAGGAUGAAGACUUUUUAAUUUUCCUAAUUCGUUAUUAUCUUGUGUUCUAAAAGCUAAAUACUAUCUGCGGUCUAAUUUCAUGGAUGCGCCUUUAGGUAAUAUGUUGUCGUUCACUUGAAAAAGUAUAUGGACUACAAAAGGUGUGUUGCAAGAAGGUUUAUGUUGGAGGGUCAGAACAGGUAGUAAAAUCUCCAUUAAUAAUGAUUCCUAGAUUAUUGGGGUUGCUAAUUAUCGUUUGAUUAAUCUGAACCAACAUUCUUUAGUAGCAGAUUUGAUUGAUGCUAAUAAUAGUGUGUACAAGCCCAAUUUUUAAAACCAGGGCCCAAUUACAAUACAAAACCCGAAUAGCCCAACAACCCAAAUUUAGCCCCUAACAGACCUAACCCAGCAAAACCAAGCCCAACUAACCUACCCAAUAACCCACAAGCCCAAUUACAAAACCAGCCCAAUACCCUAGCCCAUCCUUCCCAAAAUCUCUGAAACCCUAGGCACCGCCCUCUUUGACCUUUGGUCUCUGCCAUCACCACUCCGUGCCGCACCUACCAUGUAAUGGCCCAAAUUUGAGGUUAUCGGAACAGUGGUUUCGGGACCACAAAUCCGAUGAGAAAAAUUUUAUUUUUCUUAUAUUUUUAUGGUCUACAAUUUUACAAAAUUAUUUUUUGAAAAUUUCGUUCGAAAUUUUCGACGUUUGGGCACUCAAUUUAGUCAAAAGGACUAAAUUGUAAAAAGUGCAAAAGUUGAGUUCUACAUGUUAGAGGUGUCCAAUUGUUAUGAAACUUUAAAUUGGAGGUCCUUAUAUGGUAAUUAUACCAUUGGUAACUUGGUAGACAAAAAUGGACAUGAGAUAAGUGAAAUAGAAAAUUUUUAAGUUAGGGGCAAUUUGGUAAUCUAGUAAUUAAAAUGAAUUAAAAGGGAAAAAGAUGGAAAAAAUCAUCAUCUUCUUCAUAUGAACGAAAUCAGCAAGGGGGGAAGCCAUAGUUAGGGUUUUCAAGCUUCCAAGCUCCAUAGUAAGUGAUCCCAAGCCCCGUUUUUAAUGUUCUUUACGUUUUUGAGAUCCCGGUAGCUUAAUUUAGCUUAUUUUAGCAAUAAUUUAACCUAGGGUUUAUAUUUGGAAAAAUACCCAUAGGUGAAAAGUGUUUAUUUUGAUAUUUUAUGAUAGAAUAUGGAGCUAGAAAUUAUGUUAAACAACUUUUGCUAAGCGAUUUUAAGUGAAAACGAGUAAAACGACAUAAUCGGUAAAAAUACCUAAUGUUCAUAAGUACAUGUUAGAGUGGGAAUUUGAUGUUGCCAUAGAAGGGAAAAAUGUUCAUAAUGUUAUAAAACAUAAAAAUAAGAGAUGAAGUUUAAUUUCCGAGCCUUGGGGCAAAAAUGUAAUUAUGUAAAAGUUUAGGGGCAAAAUUGUAAUUUUGAAAAAGUUAGAGUCGAGGGCUGUUUUGAUGAAUGUGAUUAUUAAAUAAGUUAAAUUUACUAUUUUAGAUCAAGAAGUACGAAACUCGAGGUUAGACAAAGGGAAGAAUAAAGUUGAAGACUAAGUUGGUGAAUUUGGCUAUAAUUGGUACCGAGGUAAGUUUACGGUAAAUAAAUGCAAUAUUUCAAUAUUUAUUAUUAAUGCUGUUAAUUUCCAGCAAUUAUGAAUUUAUUUUAUGAAUUUAUUUGAUGAUGAUCCAAGCAUGAAAUGAUAGAAAAUUAAAAUUUAAAAGUCCCGUUGAUACAUAAGGAUGGUACUGGAUACGAAUGUCAUGACAUUUGGGUAAAGAGAUCCCAUGUAAGACCAUGUCUGGGACAUGACAUUGGCAUCCUUAAGAUCAUGAGAGGUCCCCUGUAAGACCAUGUCUGGGACAUGGCAUGGGCACCGAGACGAGAGGUCCCAUGUAAGACCAUGUCUGGGACAUGGCGUUGGCACCGAGAUGAGAGGUCCCCUAUAAGACCAUGUCUGGGACAUGGCAUGGGCACCAUCAUGAGAACAUCCCAUGUAAGACCAUGUCUGGGACAUGGCUUUGGCAUGUUAUUAUCAGAAGAGACCCGAGUAUCCUUAUUAUUCCAAUGUAGCUCAACGGGCUUGUAAACGUAUCAUGUUCAUGAAAGUUCAGUUUAAAGCAUAAAUGGCAAGCUCAGGUAAGUUGUAAGACUUAAGAACUUAUUAUACUAUCAAUUGAUGUUCAACGAUGCAGCAAGGAUUGAGUAAGUUAUGCACACAAGUAUUCUAAGUAAACAAGUAAGAGAACUAGUAUAAGAUUAACUAAAGAGUAAACUAGAGAUAUAGACAUUGAGUUUAAUUAUUUAAGUUAAAUAUUGUUAUUUAUUUGCUAGUAAACUUACUAAGCUUUAUGCUUACUUCUUUUAUUUCUCUUUCUCUUAUAGUAUUGCAAAGCUACUUCAAGGAUCCUAAAGAAGUCGGAGAUCGUCCACACUAUCAACUACAACUGCUCGGUAUUUUAUAUCGAAACACGUUUGAGUUAUGGCAUGUAUAGGGAUUUAGUUAUUUUGUAUGUUUGUAAUGAUGAUUUUUGCUAAUGAGUGAUGUGUAAGUAUUUGAUGAUGUAUGGUCAUUAAAAUGGUUAAGGAUGAAGGUGUUUGUUGUUAUGAAAGAUUAGGUGAUAAAUUAUGCAUGGAAAUCAUGAAAGGAUAAAAUUUUGCAAAGAAACAGAAUUCAGGCAGCACAGUGACGUAAAUUUGAAAAAUCACCCAAGAUAGUAUAAAAUGAAUUAGAGGGUGAAUGAUAUAUGGAAUUAAAUCUUGUUGAGUCUAUUUUCAUGAAAAAAUAACGGUGUAGAAAAAGGAAAUUUAUAUUUUAAGAUAUGUGAAUUUUAGUAAGAUAGGGUCAGAACUGUUUUUGGAGUCCCCUGUUCUGAGUUUAGAAAAUAAUUACAAAUUGUAAAAAAAUGGUUAUGAGUUGAAAUUUACAUGCUUAGAUUCCUUAAUAAGUUUAUUUUCUGUAGAAACAAGUAAGAACUUCAUAUGAAAAUCCUACAGUGAGAAAACUUAUUUUUAGUAACAAGAGGUCAGAAUAGUCGAAUGGUGAAACAGGGGAGACUUUAACUAAUAAACUGUACUAAUUGGCUGAACCAAAAAUUCUAAAAAAUUUAUGGUGAGUAUAUAUAUGAGUCUAGUUUCAGGGAAAAUUUACGGAAUUAAAUUUUGAGUUCUGUAGCUCAAGUUAUAAUUAAUUUAGCAACUGCUGCGCGAUUGGAUAGAUUUGCUGUAAAUAGUGAAAUAAAUUUUCAAACCUAGUUUUUAUGCUCCGAAUUGGUAAGAUAAGCUAAGUAAUGCCUCGUGCUCGACUCCGGAAACGGUCUCGGGUAAGGGGUGUUACAUACCACCACCUGCUCCUAUCACCACUGGCAUCUGCAAAGGAGAAAGAAGCAAGGAAAAAAUAUAUCAAAAACAGUAACAAAAAAUGGGCUAUAAAAGCUGAUUGUAACUCAAUUUCGGGGGCUUUUUUUUUCUUCUUCUUUUUUCGACCUUUGCAACACAUAGUAGCAGAGAAAUAUAGAAACAAAAAAAAAGAUUUAAGGUGAAUCCUUUUAUUUUUCUUUCUUUCUUUUCGUUUUUUAUUUCGUUUUUCAUCUUCUUUUUUUUGUUUUACAUACAUAAAUAAAAAUAAAGGGAAACGAAAAAAUAAAAGAAGAAGAAAACCUUACCUGUGCCGCACCGAAGGAGGAGGAGACGGACGGUUACUCCUCGUUUGGCGGGGUUGGGCUCACCUUUCACAAGAUUCGGCGUUAGAUCCGUGUUUAAGAGGCCUUCGGUUCGGCUUCAAAAAGGAACCGGAAAGGUUCCAUUUUGAACCUCCGGCCGCCACACGCGGUGGCGCCUCGGCGGAGGUUCGCCGGAGCCCUAGACCGGCCCCUUGGCCGGAGAGAAUGAGGGAGAGAGAGCUUCUCUCUAUUUUUUUUAAGAAAAAUGGUUUUUAAACUUUUUUUAGGUUUUUUUCAAUAUUUAUAUUAAUUUUAAAACGGCGCCAUUUUGGGUAAGGGGGAUCCGCGCGUCGACUCAAUCCGACCCGAAGGAUCCGCGUGUUUUUAAUCUUUGGGCUAUUUGCGCGCGCAGUCCCUCCGAUUUGUGGCGUGCUUCAAUUUGGUCCUAUUUCGCUAUUUCCUUUUAUUUUUAAUUUGGCCACAAAGUUUUAUUUUUGCUUCAAUUUAGUCUAUUGCUACGCCGCGUUUUGAUGACUUCGGUUUAUUUACUAUUUUGGUCCCCCCUCUUUCAGUGCGCGUCACAAUUUGGUCCUUUUAGUUUUUUUUUUUAUUUUUGCAAUCUCGCCCAAUAUUUUGUUUUCAUUUCGACUUAGUCCCUUUUUUAUUAUUAUUAUUUAGUUCAUUGUUUUUAUUGCUAUUAUUAUUAAUGUUAUUAUUAUUGUUUCUACAUUUCCUAUUAUAUUAUCAUUAUUAUUAUAUAAGUGCAUAUAUAUAUCUUAUAUAAUUUAUUUAAUACAUAUAAAUACUCAUAUUUUAUCUAUUUUAUAAUUUAUAAAAGUAUCUAUAUAUCUAUAUAUACACUUACAUAUACUUUAUACUUUCAAAAUAUACCUUGUAUAUAUUCUUUACAUUUUAUGACUAAUAUAUACUUACACAUAUAUACUUUUAUAUAUUUAAUGAUUAUUAUAUAUGUAAAUAUGUAUGUACAUACACUUACAUAAUUUUUAAUGUACAAUAAUUCCGAAAUAUGUACACAUACACAUGUUCUUCAUAUUCUCAUUAUUUUAUUUAUAUAUAUAUGUGUGUUUAUAUAUUUUUAUAUUUGCAUCAUGUUGUCAAUUUUGUUCAUUUAUUUGCAUGUUUAUUAUUGUUUGUUUUCUUACUUUAGUUCCUAAUUAUUUGUUACCUUGCCCGUAUGAUUGUUUUUAUUAUUUAUUGUUUUGCUUAUAUCAUUUUAUUUACAUUGACAUCAUUAUCAUUAUUUUACAUCCAUUUUACUCGAAUUUAUCAAGAACAAAAAUUUCAAAAUAAAAGCAACACUCGGUAUUUAGGAUCUUCGAGAGAAUCGAGCCCUAACGUAUUGGGUUCCGAUUUUUUUUGUUGAAUCUAAAUAAUCGAGGUUACUUUUUUUAAAAAAUAAAUAAAGAAAAGCUCAUUAUUGGGAAUUCAAUAUGUCGUGUCCUAACGCAUUGGAUGUGACACGUUGUUUUUUUCGAGAUGAGGAUUUUCUUAAAAACAACCAAGGCAAUAUUCAAUGUUCGGAAUGUUGAGAAAUUGUGCCCUAACGUAUUGGGUUGCGAUUUCCUCAUCUGACUCGAAUAAUUGAAUAUCUUUUUUUUUUUAAUUUUUAUCGUAGUAGUUUUUUAAUAUAAACAACCUAUUUUAUACAAGUCAUUUUAAGACAAAGGAUCGUAUUUUAAAUUUUUAAAUUUUUCAAUUUUUGACAUUAAGACAUUGACUAAUCAACUAGGUACCAAUUUCUGGGCGUUACGAGGGUGCUAAUCCUUCCUCGUACGUAAUCGACUCCCGAACCCGUUUUUCUAGAUUUCGUGGACCAAAAUCGUUGUUUUAAUAAAAUUAAAACCGUUUAUUAAAAACAAUCACUUUUCGAGGUGAUCCAAUCACACCUCAUAAAAAGGGGAUUGGUGACGACUCCCGUUUCAUUUUUCAAAACCCAAGUCGACCCUGUUUUUCCAUCCAAAAAAUGGUGUCAACAUAGAGUAUGGAAAGAAGAUCUAAUUAUCAAUACCUUUGGGAGGAAAGAUGCCACUAGAAUUCUCCGUAUCCCGCUGGUACGAGAAGCACAUGACGAUCAGAUGGUGUGGAGUGGCGAGCCCUUUAGGGAGUUCUCGGUUCGCAAUACUUACAAACCAUAACGAAAGUAUCCUAUGGAUCCUAAUGUUUAUGCAUUAAAAAACAAAGCUAAAGAAUUAUACAAACAACUUUGGGGCCUAAAUCUCCUUGGGAAAAUAAAUAUUACAGUUUGGAGGAUCUCCUGGAAUUACAUCCCCACUCUUGUGAACAAGAACCAUAAGAAGCUUCCCCAUAUUACAAUGUGUCCAUCGAUGUGGUGAAGUAACUAAAACAAUCACCCAUGUAUUUCGAGUGUGUCCUGCUUCCAGAGAAGUUUUGUCAGGUUUACAAUUGUCAUGGAUUUUACAUUUUGAUGAUUUGGAUUUUGAACAGCGGUUUACCUGGGCUAUUGGGGGUGUUCGUUUAACCAAAAGUGUAUCAUUUGCUGUGCACUUUGGGCAAUUUGGGGAGAUAACAAUACGUGGGUCCAUGAAAAGAGAAGAAAAUCAGGUAAAGAUUUAAUUGCUUUUGUACGAGAUUUUAUUAAUGAGUUAGAAGGGGUGAAGAUAUAGACCUAUCAAAGUGCGAAUCUGGGGGGAAAAUGGGGAAAGCCUUCUGGGAAUACGAUGAAGAUAAACUUCAAUGGCGCUUAUGACGAUGGUAUUUUUAGAUCGGCUUCAGGAAUUGUCGCUAUGAACGUCGAGGGGGCGGCCCUAUGCUCUCGUUCGGAAGUUCACGACGAAGUGGCAUCCGCAUUUGCAGCCGAAGCCAUUGCAUGUCAAAAGGCAGUAGAAAUGGGGUCAGAAAUGGGGUGGAAGAUAUUAUUGUGGAAGGGGAUUCAUUAUCUAUAGUUAAGAAAUGUAAAGAAAAAAUCCAGGACAAAUCGGUUAUCGGAGCAUAUAUCCACAACAUUAAGAAAGUAACAGGUAGAUUUCGGACAGUUAGAUUCACAUAUGUGCCUCAAACGGCUAAUGGUUUAUGGCACACACAAUCGCAAAAGAGGCGUUAAGAAGAAGGGAAUUGUCUUACCUGGUGCGCAAGGUUCCGGUAUAUGCGGAACUAGCGCUGGAAGUUGAUUGGGAGAGGGAACCGGAUUGGAAUCUGCGAUGAACAAAAGGAGAGUUGAGGAGAGGUUUUGUUGAAAUGGCUUUUGGAAGAGUUCCUCUCCGAGUUCUGGAACCGUCAGCGGCAGGAAAUGACGAUAUUUGGGGACCGGUGAUCUGAAGCAAUUUGACUGGGCAAGUUAGACGGUGCCUUUACUUUCUAAUUAUGUUGUUUUAUCCGUUUAUCUUGUGGGCCAUUUGGAUUUGGGCCUUUUCUUGGUUUUGUUUGAUUUGGACCAUAUUUGCAGUCGGUAGGUUUUAUACUUUGGUUUUAUUAAUAAAUAGCCCAAUCAGAUUUAUUUAAAAAAAAUAUUAAAUUUGACAUGUAUAAUUUAUAUGAAUAGACUAUAAAAUAUAACG
rnacentral:lncRNA from 1 species